UCGAUCAAGAAGAGGAGAAACAAGGGUUUACCCUUGUUCUUGCAAAACUCAUCAAUUAACAAAGGAAUUCAAUGUUAAUCGGCUGCAUGUAUUAAAUUUUCGAUCUACUAAGCAUACCUAGUGAAGUGGCGUGAAAGAAGAAGGCCCAAACACUAAGAAGACGGGAGACUCACAAGAUCGAGGUAAAUCCUUAAUGUAGGCGACUUGGCAAAUUGGAGCGAGCAUAUGCACACUUUAUGAACAUCAAGCGCUUCCGCUAUUAUGUAUUAAUGUUUUGGGUCAAAUGUCCGUUUUUGGUAUAACAUUGUUAGUAGUUACACUUGUUAAUACUUGGUGUAUGGUCUUAGUCAUGUCUAGUCGAACGGGUCGUAAACUUGUUUGUUUGUUGAUGGUUAAUACAGGGAUACACUCGACUUGCGGACGGGUCAUGCCCAAUUUUCGUUAAAAUCAUGUGUUAAUGAUAUUAGCGUUUUUACCUU